AAACUACUCCCUCCGUCCCAAAAUUCUUGUCUUAAAUUUGUCUAGAUACGGAUGUACCUAAUACUAAAACAUGACUUGAUACAUCCGUAUUUAGACAAAUCUAAGACAAGAAUUUUGGGAAGGAGGGAGUACUAA
rnacentral:pre_miRNA from 1 species